UACGUAGGGGGCAAGCGUUGUCCGGAUUUAUUGGGCGUAAAGAGCUUGUAGGCGGUUUGUCGCGUCUGCUGUGAAAAUCCGGGGCUCAACCCCGGACUUGCAGUGGGUACGGGCAGACUAGAGUGUGGUAGGGGAGACUGGAAUUCCUGGUGUAGCGGUGAAAUGCGCAGAUAUCAGGAGGAACACCGAUGGCGAAGGCAGGUCUCUGGGCCACUACUGACGCUGAGAAGCGAAAGCGUGGGGAGCGAACAGG
rnacentral:rRNA from 1 species